UACGUAGGGUGCGAGCGUUGUCCGGAUUUAUUGGGCGUAAAGAGCUCGUAGGCGGCUCGUCGCGUCGACCGUGAAAACCCGCGGCUUAACUGCGGGCUUGCGGUUGAUACGGGCGGGCUAGAGUUCGGUAGGGGAGACUGGAAUUCCUGGUGUAGCGGUGAAAUGCGCAGAUAUCAGGAGGAACACCGGUGGCGAAGGCGGGUCUCUGGGCCGAUACUGACGCUGAGGAGCGAAAGCGUGGGGAGCGAACAGG
rnacentral:rRNA from 1 species